CUGUGAGUCGAGGUGCGGGUGCCGCGGCUCCCUAGCGUUUGGGGCUCAGGCCCCGCGCGCUUCGCUCCUUCUCAGCCGCUCCUCUCUAGCUGCGCCUCGGCUGUCUGCUGCCUGCGUGGGCCUGGAGGGUGCCUCCGCACUUAAAGUGUUGACGGAGUAGGAAGGACAUGGAAUCCAUCUCUCUACCUAAACAACAAUCGUACUGGCAGAAACUGAAGUAACUGUUUUGGAACUCUGGAGUCUAUUUGAAUGCUUGCAUGUUCCAGGGGAAAAUUUGGUUGGUCAAUUGAGGUUAAUUUCAGUCAAUGUGAGCCUUUAGUGUGAUAGCACCUACUCAUUCCUACUCCUCAACCCUGUGGAGGCACUCAUGUUUAUAUUCCUGGUAUGGCUUGCUGGAGCCAGGGUGGGAAAUAAGAACCUUGUUCUCCAAAUACAAGAGUUCUGUAUUUUAUUUUUAUUGAAGUAUAGUUGAUUUAUAAUGUUGUGUUAGUUUCAGGUGUACAGUAAAGUGAUUCAAUUUUUAUAUAUGUAUAUAUAUUUUUUCUUUUUCAUUAUGGUUUAUUACAGGAUAUUGAACAUAGUUCCCUGUGCUAUACAGUAGGACCUUGUUGUUUAUCUAUUUUAUAUGUAGUAGUUUGUAUCUGUUAAUCCCAAACUCCUAAUUUAUCCCUCCCCCACCCUUUUGCCCCUUUGAUAACCAUAAGUUUUUUCUAUGUCUGUGAGUCUGUUUCUGUUUCAUAAAUAAGUUCAUUUGUGUCAUAUUUGAGAUUCCACAUAUAAGUGAUAUCAUAUGGCAUUUAGACAAAGACUUUAAAACUGUCUUAAAGUUGCUCAUUGAGCUAAAAUGAAACAUGGAUGAAGUCUGGAAAAUGUACAGAAAAAUGGGAAUAUCGUUAAAGAAAUAGAAAUUAUAAAAAGGAACUUAAGUGAAAUUCUGGAGUUGAAAAUAUAAUAAUAGAGAGAAAAAAGUUCACUUGGGUUCAAAAUCAGAUUUGAGCAGGCAGAAGAAAGAAUCAACAAACUUGAAGAUAUUUCUUUCAAACCCAGUUCCUUUUUUCCCACCCUUUCUUUUGCCCUAGUUCAGGCCUUUCUGAACUUAGGCAGCCUCCAAAGUGUUCUAUUUACUCCCUGUUUUCCCUUUUCUACUCCUACCAGAAUGAAAUUUUUAAAAAACUCAAAUGUGAUAUUGGCACUAUCCUUAGAAACCUCUAAGGGCUCCCUGUAUUUAUAGAUUGAACUUCAUUUUCCUUAUUUAAGUAUUCAAGGACCUUCCCAUUCUGCCUCCAGCUUACCACAUCAAUCCAUUGAGCUUGAGAUAUAAAUUCCAGUUUCCAGGAUAUACAAGGUCUAAGGGAACAAAUUCAGUGACUUCUUGAGGAAGCAACCAUUCAGAUCCAGAAGGUGGGAAAUUUUGCACUUCAACUGGACCGAUUUCUUCAAUAGGCCAGUGUCUUUCCUUUUUUUUCUUACGUGCUAGAUUUAAAAAUACUUAAGGGACAUCACAACCAGAUACAACAUGUGGGCCUGGAUUGGAUGCUGAUUUGGGAAAACUAGCUGUAAAAAAAUAUAUUUGGGGCAACAGAGAAUUUGAUUAUAGUUAGGUAUUAGAUGAGAGGAAAAUUUACUGAAAUGAUAUUACUGAUUUGGAAAAGCCAGCUGUAAAAAUAUUUUUAGGUUGUUAGAAAAUUUGAAUGCGAUCUAGGAAUUAGAUGAGAGCAAAAUUUAGUGAAAUGGUAAGGUAGAUAUUGUUAAUUGAAUAAAGCAGACUGCUUAACUGUGUGAUCUCAUUUUGUAAAACAAUAUAUAGACACACAAAGAAGGCUACAUAUUAAAGUAUUAAUAUUUGUAUUGGGAAUGUGAUGUUUUUGUUUUUUAUUUUAGGUUGUCCCUAUUUUAUAUUUUUCUCCAGGGCAUACUGUAGUGAUUCUGUAAUAAAAUUUUAUUUAAAAAAUA